UUUCAAGCUGCUUUCUUAGGGCUUUGCUGCUCAGGUGCCUACAACUACUUUUAAAAAUUGAAUUUAAUGGGAGCAUGCACUGAAUAUAUUUGGGAAUUGCAUCUGUGAAAUGAU
rnacentral:lncRNA from 12 species